AGCCUGUGUUUUUCUUAACCAUAACCCUAACAUUAACUGUAACGCUUGCCGUGCUCUGAGUGCACUAAUAGACAUUGAUGGCCCUGAGCAGCCUCACCUGGGAUGCUGCCCACACACCCUCUGCCCAUGGGGGGGCCCAACAUGCCAUUUAAGCUCAGAUGUGGGUCAUCACUUUUUUUUGUGCUAUGUUGGCAUUCUAUUUGUCCUUCUGUCUUUCUGUUCAUCUGACUUCAUCCCCUGGCUGGACCUUAGGCUUGCAUUGCAGGACCCUGCCUCAUUCAGAGUGCAGGAUGAACAGUGCUUGGAAUGAAUCAGCACAACACAGUGAAAGAGUCUGUUGUUUGCAGGACUCAUCUCAGUUGUUGAGGAAGUUGGAAUAUGUGUUUUGAAUGAGUUGGGAUGUCAAGAAAAGAAAGGAUGAUCUUGUAGCUGAGGCAACUGUAUAUUUCCCUGGAGAAUGGAUUUCUGUCACUGCCUUUGCCAAAAAGAUUCUGUGAGGUACUGUUUUGGGGGAGAAAAGACAUAACUUUUCUCAGGUAUCCAUUAACAGCAAACACAUAAUUUUCUUAGAAAUCUGAGGAUGUGGCUUCACAUGCUGUUGAUCCAGC